rnacentral:lncRNA from 1 species
CUUCGGUCUCUGAUAAAAAUAUUGUGAGAGCAAUUCUCAAGACCAGUCUGUCAAAUAUAAGUCAAAGUGACCCUUUCAAUGAUGUUUUGUAAGUGUACUGGGAACCUAAACCCACUCCUGGUCUCUUUGGACAAAGCACAGAAACUAUAUUUAAACUGUAAAGGGAGAAGUUAGAAAAACAGCAUGAACAUAGACUCACCAGCAUAUUUACUCCAGAUUUAUACCAAGCACCUUUCUGUUUUUUCUUGUUGCAGCCAUUACACCAGGGGUCGUGCUGAGGCCAGUCUGCCAAGCACAGAGGUGCUGGGAAGGCAACAGCAGUCUGACAUUGCCAAACCCCUCCAUGUGUGCUGGUGGUCAAGCACAGGAACAGCAAGGAUCUUCAAUGCUGACAUUCACAAAACCUCAAAUUGAUUUCAAAAGUGAUUUUAGCCCCACUUCUGUUGUAGAAAGCAUUAAAAAAAAAUGUGUUCAUGGAGGUGCAUGAAGAUCCACUGCACAGGAAUGUAAGUCAGUGCUCACUUGUGAAAUCUCACUAAAUAACACUUGAGGAUUUUUUUUUUUUAAUUCAUGAGAAUAUCUGCGAAGUCCUUUUUGUUUCUCAUUUUGCUUACCCACUGCACUGUUCAUUACUGAGCAGUUUUCGCCUGUGAGUAGUGAAAAACAGAAACAAGGGCAGGUGAAGUUGGUUUUGUUGUCUUCUUCCCUCUUGUUUUUUUCUUUUUUACCUGAGAGGGAUUGGGUUUUGAUCAUAAGCUUAAAGAGUUACUACAUACAGUGAGUCUAAAAUCAGUAUAAGUUCUAUAUCCCAGCCAAUGGGUUGUGCAGGCACAUACCAUAUACAUAUACACCCAUGUACACCAUGUACCCCAGGUUUAAUGCAUCAUUACAGAUCAUCCACUCUGCCAAACUGACAAAAGCUUAAUAAUCAAGAACCAUGAAACAUCUAGGCUCUUGCCUGCAUGCCAAAGGAAGCAAAUUAACUGCUCAUGUGGUUACAGUUUAUUCACAUGGCUCUCCUUGAAACCAAAUAUAACACCUCACCUUUGAGUCUCUAAUUCUACAGGCUCCUGCAAGUCCCUGAAGGACUGCCUGAUUUCACCACAAGGAGCAGUUCCAUUCAGUGACUGACACAGAGCUGAUAAUGACAGAAAAGCAAACAAAUGUGCACUUGAUUAAGACUUUAAAGUUGAUAUUUCUGAAACAGAGGUAUUCAACAGAUUUAUUUAGACCUGAUGAUAACUUGGACUUUAUUUCAAUGAUUAUCCAUUUUUUAGUUUCUUCAUUGCAACAGUGGCUCCAUAGCUAUUAACAGCAAGCCUAGCAAAAAAAUUAUCAUUAAUUAGAAAGUUCUUUUAGAAGUCAGUUGCAUAUUUGAUUAGAAAUAAGUCAGUUAAAGUCAUAGUGCACACAC